rnacentral:misc_RNA from 1 species
GUAUUUUCUAAAUAACUUCAGGGUUGAAUUUAUUUGUAUUGUAGGCAAGAGUUAGCUUACUUAACUCCUGAGUCAAGGCCCUUGUUGAAUUUGUCUAAAACUAUGGGGAGCUAUAGGCAUGCCUGAUAAAUUACAAUCAUUGUCAAAUGGAUUUCAGUUAUCAGAGUGCAGAUUGUUUCACUGCUUGCCAUCUGUUGGUGGCUUUGAAACAAUUUAUUUAUCUCAUAGUUGGUAUAACAGUUUUAAUAUGUCCGCAAUCAUCUUAUUUGUUUGUCUCCAUGAUGCUUUUGCACAUACAGAGUCA